GUUGAAUACUGUUCUCCAUGUCAUUAUCAUCUGAAAAAUAUAUAGUUCGGAAAACAUUAAUCGACAUGUGGAAGCUGUAUCCGAAAGAUAGGGAUUUCCACAUUAUACCCGGUACUCCAUAGAGAAUGAUCAUAACUAGCAGUAUGCCGAAUCUGUAUCCGACCGCAUCAUUAUUAUAGCCAGAAGAAACAAAUUAAAUUUACGCGCUUACUUAUUCUCUCUCUAUCUCUAUCUCUCUCGCACUCACUCUUUCUCGAGACAAAACGGCUGGUGUUGGUGUGAGAAUAGAGAAAAAGAGACAGGUGUACAAAAUGGAAACAAAUAAAUAUUAAAAUAUAUAAAAGUCUCCCAAACGGUUCCUUUUUGCGAGCUGCGAUACCAAGCGACAUAUAAAAUAAAUAUUGUAUAAAUUAUAUAAAUCAUAAGCUUACAUAAAAACCGACUGAGUACCGGGUAUAAGGACGGGUUCCCGCUCGUUUUAGUAAGCGUUUUAGUGAAAGGUGCACCCACAUUAUUUGGUAGUUUGUAGAAGUCUUUUUACAAUUGGAAAUGAUUUCAAAUUGAGUAAAAAUUAAGUAAAUAAUUAUAGCUUAAACAAAUGUACAAGUAUCCAUUCCGAACCGAUUAAAAGUGCUCAGGGGACAGGGGACACGGGGACACACCAAUGGGAGCAGGUUUUGUGGAGGAAGAACAUCCAUUUGGCUGCAAGUGCAAGGACAGGACAGGAGGUGUGAAGGUGCGCGUAACAUGUACAGUAUAGUACGUUUCAUAGCUCUUCAAAAUUGAACGCACAUUCAAAACAUGAACCAAAUAAAAGGGAAACUUGCUUAAGUUCAGGUCACGGCUGACACAAAUGCUGCUGCAUUCCACGUGGAACUGGAGUACGCGCAGGAGGAGGAGGAGGAGCCCAUCCCCUCAUCCCAGGGCGGGCGUACUACAAGUUGAAGGUACUACGGGCAGAGGCGGCAGAGAAUGCACAAAUAAAUCGGAUUAAAAGAAAGGCAGAACAGAAAUCAAACAAUCAAAGACGUAAACAAAAAAA